rnacentral:rRNA from 1 species
GUAGCGAAAGCGAGUCUGAAUAGGGCGUUUAGUAUUUGGUCGUAGACCCGAAACCAGGUGAUCUACCCUUGGUCAGGUUGAAGUUCAGGUAACACUGAAUGGAGGACCGAACCGACUUACGUUGAAAAGUGAGCGGAUGAACUGAGGGUAGCGGAGAAAUUCCAAUCGAACCUGGAGAUAGCUGGUUCUCUCCGAAAUAGCUUUAGGGCUAGCCUCAAGUGAUGAUUAUUGGAGGUAGAGCACUGUUUGGACGAGGGGCCCCUCUCGGGUUACCGAAUUCAGACAAACUCCGAAUGCCAAUUAAUUUAACUUGGGAGUCAGAACAUGGGUGAUAAGGUCCGUGUUCGAAAGGGAAACAGCCCAGACCACCAGCUAAGGUCCCAAAAUAUAUGUUAAGUGGAAAAGGAUGUGGCGUUGCCCAGACAACUAGGAUGUUGGCUUAGAAGCAGCCAUCAUUUAAAGAGUGCGUAAUAGCUCACUAGUCGAGUGACACUGCGCCGAAAAUGUACCGGGGCUAAACAUAUUACCGAAGCUGUGGAUUGUCCUUUGGACAAUGGUAGGAGAGCGUUCUAAGGGCGUUGAAGCAUGAUCGUAAGGACAUGUGGAGCGCUUAGAAGUGAGAAUGCCGGUGUGAGUAGCGAAAGACGGGUGAGAAUCCCGUCCACCGAUUGACUAAGGUUUCCAGAGGAAGGCUCGUCCGCUCUGGGUUAGUCGGGUCCUAAGCUGAGGCCGACAGGCGUAGGCGAUGGAUAACAGGUUGAUAUUCCUGUACCACCUAUAAUCGUUUUAAUCGAUGGGGGGACGCAGUAGGAUAGGCGAAGCGUGCGAUUGGAUUGCACGUCUAAGCAGUAAGGCUGAGUAUUAGGCAAAUCCGGUACUCAUUAAGGCUGAGCUGUGAUGGGGAGAAGACAUUGUGUCUUCGAGUCGUUGAUUUCACACUGCCGAGAAAAGCCUCUAGAUAGAAAAUAGGUGCCCGUACCGCAAACCGACACAGGUAGUCAAGAUGAGAAUUCUAAGGUGAGCGAGCGAACUCUCGUUAAGGAACUCGGCAAAAUGACCCCGUAACUUCGGGAGAAGGGGUGCUCUUUAGGGUUAACGCCCAGAAGAGCCGCAGUGAAUAGGCCCAAGCGACUGUUUAUCAAAAACACAGGUCUCUGCUAAACCGUAAGGUGAUGUAUAGGGGCUGACGCCUGCCCGGUGCUGGAAGGUUAAGAGGAGUGGUUAGCUUCUGCGAAGCUACGAAUCGAAGCCCCAGUAAACGGCGGCCGUAACUAUAACGGUCCUAAGGUAGCGAAAUUCCUUGUCGGGUAAGUUCCGACCCGCACGAAAGGCGUAACGAUUUGGGCACUGUCUCAACGAGAGACUCGGUGAAAUCAUAGUACCUGUGAAGAUGCAGGUUACCCGCGACAGGACGGAAAGACCCCGUGGAGCUUUACUGUAGCCUGAUAUUGAAAUUCGGCACAGCUUGUACAGGAUAGGUAGGAGCCUUUGAAACGUGAGCGCUAGCUUACGUGGAGGCGCUGGUGGGAUACUACCCUAGCUGUGUUGGCUUUCUAACCCGCACCACUUAUCGUGGUGGGAGACAGUGUCAGGCGGGCAGUUUGACUGGGGCGGUCGCCUCCUAAAAGGUAACGGAGGCGCUCAAAGGUUCCCUCAGAAUGGUUGGAAAUCAUUCAUAGAGUGUAAAGGCAUAAGGGAGCUUGACUGCGAGACCUACAAGUCGAGCAGGGUCGAAAGACGGACUUAGUGAUCCGGUGGUUCCGCAUGGAAGGGCCAUCGCUCAACGGAUAAAAGCUACCCCGGGGAUAACAGGCUUAUCUCCCCCAAGAGUUCACAUCGACGGGGAGGUUUGGCACCUCGAUGUCGGCUCAUCGCAUCCUGGGGCUGUAGUCGGUCCCAAGGGUUGGGCUGUUCGCCCAUUAAAGCGGUACGCGAGCUGGGUUCAGAACGUCGUGAGACAGUUCGGUCCCUAUCCGUCGUGGGCGUAGGAAAUUUGAGAGGAGCUGUCCUUAGUACGAGAGGACCGGGAUGGACAUACCUCUGGUGUACCAGUUGUCGUGCCAACGGCAUAGCUGGGUAGCUAUGUGUGGACGGGAUAAGUGCUGAAAGCAUCUAAGCAUGAAGCCCCCCUCAAGAUGAGAUUUCCCAACUUCGGUUAUAAGAUCCCUCAAAGAUGAUGAGGUUAAUAGGUUCGAGGUGGAAGCAUGGUGACAUGUGGAGCUGACGAAUACUAA